rnacentral:rRNA from 1 species
CCUGGCUCAGAUUGAACGCUGGCGGCAUGCCUUACACAUGCAAGUCGAACGGUAACAGGUCUUCGGANGCUGACGAGUGGCGAACGGGUGAGUAAUACAUCGGAACGUGCCCGAUCGUGGGGGAUAACGAGGCGAAAGCUUUGCUAAUACCGCAUACGAUCUACGGAUGAAAGCGGGGGAUCUUCGGACCUCGCGCGGACGGAGCGGCCGAUGGCAGAUUAGGUAGUUGGUGGGAUAAAAGCUUACCAAGCCGACGAUCUGUAGCUGGUCUGAGAGGAUGAUCAGCCACACUGGGACUGAGACACGGCCCAGACUCCUACGGGAGGCAGCAGUGGGNNAUUUUGGACAAUGGGCGAAAGCCUGAUCCAGCCAUGCCGNUGUGCAGGAUGAAGGCCUUCGGGUUGUAAACUGCUUUUGUACG